CCUACGGGAGGCAGCAGUGAGGAAUAUUGGUCAAUGGACGAGAGUCUGAACCAGCCAAGUAGCGUGAAGGAUGACUGCCCUAUGGGUUGUAAACUUCUUUUAUAUGGGAAUAAAAUGUUCCACGUGUGGGAUUUUGUAUGUACCAUAUGAAUAAGGAUCGGCUAACUCCGUGCCAGCAGCCGCGGUAAUACGGAGGAUGCGAGCGUUAUCCGGAUUUAUUGGGUUUAAAGGGUGCGUAGGUGGAUUGUUAAGUCAGUGGUGAAAGUUUGGGGCUCAACCGUAAAAGUGCAGUUGAAACUGGCAGUCUUAAGUACAGUAGAGGUGGGCGGAAUUCGUGGUGUAGCGGUGAAAUGCUUAGAUAUCACGAAGAACUCCGAUUGCGAAGGCAGUUCACUGGACUGCAACUGACACUGAGGCUCGAAAGUGUGGGUAUCAAACAGGAUUAGAUACCCUAGUAGUC
rnacentral:rRNA from 1 species